rnacentral:rRNA from 1 species
AUUGAACGCUGGCGGCAGGCUUAACACAUGCAAGUCGAGCGGGGUGAUGGUGCUUGCACUAUCACUUAGCGGCGGACGGGUGAGUAAUGCUUAGGAAUCUGCCUAUUAGUGGGGGACAACAUCUCGAAAGGGAUGCUAAUACCGCAUACGUCCUACGGGAGAAAGCAGGGGAUCACUUGUGACCUUGCGCUAAUAGAUGAGCCUAAGUCGGAUUAGCUAGUUGGUGGGGUAAAGGGCUACCAAGGCGACGAUCUGUAGCGGGUCUGAGAGGAUGAGCGGCCACACUGGGACUGAGACACGGCCCAGAGUCCUACGGGAGGCAGCAGUGGGGAAGAUUGGACAAUGGGGGGAGCCCUGAUCCAUGCAUGCGGCGUUUGUGAAGAAGGCCUUAUGGUUGUAAAGCACUUUAAGCGAGGAGGAGGCUCUUUUGGUUAAUACCCAAGAUGAGUGGACGUUACUCGCAGAAUAAGCACCGGCUAACUCUGUGCCAGCAGCCGCCGCCG